ensembl:snoRNA small nucleolar RNA SNORA55
GCACCGCACAACAACCCUGUCGAUUCUGCUCAGUGUUUGAUACGGGUCACGCUUGGUGCCAUAGAGUAAGUCAACGUAAAUCCAGAUGGACCUCCUCCCUCCGUGGAGCCUAUCUCUACAACUUUGAUACACAA